UAAUGUAUGGGGAUCUGCCCGAUAGAGGGGGAUAACUACUGGAAACGGUGGCUAAUACCGCAUAAUGUCUACGGACCAAAGCAGGGGCUCUUCGGACCUUGCACUAUCGGAUGAACCCAUAUGGGAUUAGCUAGUAGGUGGGGUAAGGGCUCACCUAGGCGACGAUCUCUAGCUGGUCUGAGAGGAUGAUCAGCCACACUGGGACUGAGACACGGCCCAG
rnacentral:rRNA from 1 species